CCCUAUGGGGUGCAGCAGGCGAGAAAACUUUGCAAUGUGCGAAAGCACGACAAGGUUAAUCCGAGUGGUCUCUGCUAAAGGGACCUUUUGACAGUCCUAGAAACACUGUUGAAUAAGGGGUGGGCAAGUUCUGGUGUCAGCCGCCGCGGUAAAACCAGCACCUCAAGUGGUCAGGAUGAUUAUUGGGCCUAAAGCAUCCGUAGCCUGCUUUGUCAGUUUUCGGUUAAAUCCAUGCGCUCAACGUAUGGGCUGCCGGGAAUACUGCAAAGCUAGGGAGUGGGAGAGGUAGACGGUACUCGGUAGGAAGGGGUAAAAUCCUUUGAUCUAUUGAUGACCACCUGUGGCGAAGGCGGUCUACCAGAACACGUCCGACGGUGAGGGAUGAAAGCUGGGGGAGCAAACCGGAUUAGAUACCCGGGUAGUCCCAGCUGUAAACUAUGCAAACUCAGUGAUGCAUUGGCUUGUGGCCAAUGCAGUGCUGCAGGGAAACCGUUAAGUUUGCCGCCUGGGAAGUACGUACGCAAGUAUGAAACUUAUAGGAAUUGGCGGGGGGAGCACCACAAGGGGUGUAGCCUGCGGUUCAUUGGAGUCAAGCCAGAAGUCUUACCCGGGA
rnacentral:rRNA from 1 species